CUCUGUCUCCACUCUCCACCGUAACAACACUUCCACUUUCUGCACUCAUUCCGUUUCUGCAACGGACUCUUUUUUUUACAGACUUACAAUCUCUCUGAAACCCUAAUAUUCAUCCAAUCCAUGGCUUCUAGAUGGAAUGGGACUCCUGUUUCGUUUUUCAUUUACUCUUCUCCUUCUCCUCAACCUCGAGAGGAAGAAGAACAAGAACAAAUUGAAAUUGAGAGUCCGAAGAGUGUUAUUCCCGAUUUGUUUUUCUCAUCUCGAGAACAGCAACAACAAAUUGGGAGUCCAUUUACUCCUGUCAAUGCCCCUAAAAUCAUGAAUCCUCAUUUGUCGAUCUCUGCUGAUCGGUUCCAGUUUCGGGUGCCUUCGACAACUGAUGAUGAUGUAGUGCUUCAGAAUCUUCUCCAUAUCAUUCACUACAUUAUCAAUAAGAGGAAAUCAUCAUCAUCAUCAUCAUCCCUCACACCUGCUCAGAAACUCUUCAACUCGCUCGAUCUUGUUCAGAAAAAGGUCACGCAGCAAUUGGAGAGAAUUAAGGAAACCCCCACUUUUCAGAUGGGGGUUAGAGAUGAGAAAAUUCGAACUUUGAUGUCUAUGCGCUGAUAGAUUUCUUAUUCUUAUUACCCACACACCCACACGCACUACAUAGUCUAGAUUAAGAAUGGUAGUUUGACAUUACAUUCAAUUGUGCAAUACUUGGUUUGGUUUUUUAUUUUCAAAAAGUUAUUAUAUUUUAGAAAUUAAUUUUGUGUGUUUAGGCAUGCUGAUAUUUUGACAUUAUUUUGUAGGUUCAGAAAAAGUGCUUGUGACCUACGAAUCUUAAUAACUUCUUAUUUUUAGCAACAUGUGUUUUUGUAUGUUACCUUGAUGCACUCACAUGUACAAGUUGCGUUGAUAUUUCAACAUUUAUAUCAAGUAUGGGAUUUAAAAGUUAUGAACUUGUGUUGUUUGGGUGUUUGUGUAUUAGGAUGAAUUGUGGGGCCCAAAGUGAAGGGAAUGCAUCAAAGUUUGUCUCCCCAAUCUGCCAUGAAUUCAACUCAUUUUUAUGCUCUGUAUUGACUACCUAAUGGUAUGUGCAUCACUGAGGUGAGAGGCAGGGGGUUGGGGGAAUAUUUUUUGAUGAUCCAAACCACUAUGAUGAAGAUGAUCUAAACCACUGAAUGUGCCAAUUCUGUGGUUCCUGCUUGCAUUCCAAUCAUAGAAAUAAGGAAGGAUAUGCCAUUCACAGACCAGCAUGAGGCAUGGCAGGAAUUGCAAAGAGGGCGUUAUGUUAAUUUCAAUCCAAAAGAAUGGAUCUAAAAUUAUUAGAAAAAGAAUGUUUUUGUAUCAUCCCCCCUUUCUAGUUCCCUCUUUCUCCUGUUUCUCAAUGAGCGUUUUUUAUUGGAUGGUUAUAAGUUAGUGUGGGUGUCUAGGACUUAUGUAAUCCUCCAUAAGUAAAAGGAGACGAGGGUGUUAAUUUUAAAAUUAUGAGCGCAAUAUCUGUUGUAAGGACUGAGAAAAAUCUUCUAAUGAAAAAAUACAUUGUUGAGUAA